rnacentral:tRNA from 1 species
GGGGAUGUAGGCUAACAGGAUAAGCCGCUUGAGUUUCAAUCAAGAGAAUGCGAGUUCGAGUCUCGUCAUCCCUG